UACGUAGGCAGCAAGCGUUGUUCGGAGUUACUGGGCGUAAAGGGUGCGUAGGCGGUCCUAUAAGUAUGGUGUGAAAUCUCCCGGCUUAACUGGGAGGGUGCGCUAUAGACUGUGGGACUAGAGUGUGGGAGAGGAAAGUGGAAUUCCUGGUGUAGCGGUGAAAUGCGUAGAUAUCAGGAGGAACACCGGUGGUGUAAACGGCUUUCUGGACCAUAACUGACGCUGAGGUGCGAAAGCGUGGGGAGCAAACAGG
rnacentral:rRNA from 1 species